GUCUUUUUGAUUAUAAUUUAAAGUCUGACCUGCCCUAUGAAUUUAUUUAAAUGGCUGCGGUAUAUUGACCGUGCAAAGGUAGCAUAAUAAUUAGUUUUUUAAUUGGGAACUGGAAUGAAUGGUUGGACGAGAAAAAUACUGUCUCAAUUUAAAUUUAAUUAGAAUUUUAUUUUUAAGUUAAAAAGCUUAAAUAUAUUUAAAAGACGAGAAGACCCUAUAGAGUUUUAUAUAAAAUAUAAUAUUUAAAGAAUAAAGUAUAUAUUUUUUUUUAUUUUAUUUUAUAUUUGAUUGGGGUGAUUGAAAAAUUUAUAAAACUUUUUUUAAUUAAAAUCAUAUAUUUAUGAUUAAUUGAUCCAAUUUUUAUUGAUUAUAAGAUUAAAUUACCUUAGGGAUAACAGCGUAAUUUUU
rnacentral:rRNA from 1 species